UACGUAGGGGGCUAGCGUUGUCCGGAAUCAUUGGGCGUAAAGAGCGUGUAGGCGGCCCGGUAAGUCCGCUGUAAAAGUCAAAGGCUCAACCUUUGAAUGUCAGUGGAUACUGCCGGGCUAGAGUCCGGAAGAGGCGAGUGGAACUCCUGGUGUAGCGGUGGAAUGCGUAGAUAUCAGGAGGAACACCAAUGGCGAAGGCAGCUCGCUGGGACGGUACUGACGCUGAGACGCGAAAGCGUGGGGAGCGAACAGG
rnacentral:rRNA from 1 species